rnacentral:rRNA from 1 species
CCUACGGGAGGCAGCAGUGGGGAAUUUUGGACAAUGGGCGCAAGCCUGAUCCAGCCAUGCCGCGUGAGUGAAGAAGGCCUUCGGGUUGUAAAGCUCUUUUGUCCGGGAGCAAGUCCUACUGGCUAAUAUCUGGUGGGGAUGAGAGUACUGGAAGAAUAAGCACCGGCUAACUACGUGCCAGCAGCCGCGGUAAU